rnacentral:piRNA from 1 species
AUCUGAUACGUCCUCUAUCCGAG